UCCACUUUUUUCUUUUCCAAGUGUCUACGGUACAUCUAGCCUUUUAUGUAAUCUGUUUUUGUUCAGCAGAUUAUCAACUUUAUCUCUUGGUGAAACAUUUACAGUUCCUUGCAACAGUAUUUUUGAACUUUUCCACAUUUUGUCCCUCCAAGUCGAGUCUUAGAACUGCUAUUUAUUGGAAUCAUAGCUUCGUGUCUUUACGGGUCCAGCUUUCCACAUCUACUAGAAACUAGAACUAUUUUGACAUUUUACUUUGCAAUAUUGUCCAAAUUUAGACAGGAGAAUCUCUGAAACCAUCAGUUUAAAUAUCCAUUCGUUUAAGGUUUGGAACUUUUAACAUGUUUUCAUCAAAAUCAAGUGAAAGGGCCGCUCUGUCCUUGUUUUAAGUUUUUUGCAGCCUCCAGCAGGUCGAGUUCCAGGAUUGCCCUGUACUUAAAUGCACCACUAAACUUUGACCAGAUGUCCAGAGUAAAGACCACCCAAUCAGCAUGUUUUAACAAAUGUUGCUGGAAAAAGCAGUGAUUUCAAAAAUCAAUCUUGGCCUCCUUUUAGAUGGCUAAUCUGUAUUUAGUUCAGUGGGGCCAUUUUAAUGGUAAAAUGCCUCGAGUCUGCAAGUCCAUAUCUGUAGUGAAGGCAGGACAGGGAUGGCUUUCGUUGUUGGGUUUCGCAUUUCAGGAGAUGACUGGAUAGAAAUGAUUUAAAAGUAAUCAAAAUCUGAAAUAAGGUUAUGUUUCCAUUUACUAACUACAGAGAAACAUCAGUAUCGCAGCAAGGGAGCCCAUGUUUGCUGCUUGUUCCUCCUGAUAAGACCCUGCAAACGCAGCCUCCUCCCUCCUCGACACCAGAAGGCGUAAUGACUAACAGCUGGGGAGGCCGACUAUUUUCAAACCCAAAUGGGAAUGGAGAUGUACAGACGGCGUGUUAUUAUCUCCUCUGCUCGUGAAGCGAGCCCCGGUACCUGGCCACCCACUCACCAACAGUGAGUCACACACACUUUUCUCUGCUCCCACCGGCCUGUUCUGCUACCUAUAGGAUUAUGCGACUCAUUAAACCCACCUGGUAAAGAGAAAGCAGGUAUUCUUCCAGCAAUAAUACAUCCUAAAAGGAGGGAAACACUACAAACCAAUAAAACUUGAAGACUUUUUGGUACCUACGAAGAUGAUGACCUAAAUUGUGGAACUAUCCUGUUAAUUUGCCCAAAAUGGAAAGAUUAGUAAAAGAUUAGGGGUGUUAAUAGUAGUAAAAACAUGUCACAAUUCUCAGAUUCAGUGCAAAGAGUUGGUAAAAUGUUAUACCAAAAUCGCAGUGAAACUAAAAAAAGCAGGAAAAGACCAGCGCUGAAGCAAGAGUCAAUCAGCAAUAAUCCACGCUGGAGCAAAUCUCAGUUUGAAACAUACUUAAACUGAAGCACACAAUCAGGAACAUGCUGUUCCCAAUCAAUAUUUUUCAUGUUCACAAUAAAAAGAAAGUAGACAUCUUUUUUACUAUAAAGUGACCUGCUCUAAACAAGUUCUAAAAGCGCCAAUUCAACCUGAACAGAUUCAGUCAAAAAAUUUCAUAGAUUAAAAGAAUAAAAUAAGAACAGCCUGUAAAAACUAAAUAGCCAAUAAUUCAAUAGAUUGAAGAAACAGUAAGCAAGUGUUUUCUGUGUGACUUCAGUUUCUCAUAUCACCCAAUGUUUGUGACAAUACAGCUUCAGUUUCCUGCACUUGCAGGCAGUUAUUUAUGCACACCUUUCUAAUAUUCCUGCUACUGUAUUUCAAACGUUGAUUUUCUUCUUUUUUUUUGACAUCUUGUUGAAGAUCUGCUGCUGUUUUUUUUUUUUUAAAUCUUUGUCCCAUAGCUGAGACUCUUUGGGUCAUGCUUCAGCCAUCUGCCAACUUAUGCAACUAGCGGCAGUGGUUCACACAGCAUCAUCAACAUUUAAUAAAUAAAUGUGGAUUUGUUUAAGUUCCUAUUGAGCUCAGGUCUAGCUCAGAUAUUUUAUUAUGCCCCGAUACCCGAAACCCUAAAUUAAGCGCCAGUUUUGUCCAAUAUACUCUUCUAUGUAUAGCAAGGAUUUUAAGAAAAAAGGAAAACAAAAGGAUCCAAGGAAACAAAUAUCAUGGCUACGAGUUUUUACUUUUCAAAGUUAGCAGUCAGUUAAAUGUACAUUAUCAAAAAAAGGCCCAACUUUUUAUCACUUAUCCUCAAUCUCCAGAAAACAUACAAAAAGGACAAAACAGGACAUUAUAAAGCUGCACAUUUUGUACCAGAUACAAUAAUAAAAUACACAAUGCUACAUUAAGUGGUUAAAAAUACAAAGGGGAAAGAAUAUUGAUUUUUUUAAAAACAUCUUUAAAGAAUAUACAAUGUUAUUUUUUUAACUACUCAAGGAUUUUAGUAGAAAGUGCAUUCUAUAUAACAAAGAAAGGAGGAGGAGAAUCAUUUUGCAACAGAGAAAACGGACACAACGGGAAAAAAUAAAAUGACGAACGUAUUUCCAAUAAUACAUGAAGGGGCGUGUGUGAUGGCACAAAAGUAGUAGGAUCAUCAUUUGUACUUUGAAGGAAAGGUCCAAACUGAAGGCUAUUUUUCUCAAAAUGAAGUUAAGUACAUAGAUGUGUAUAUUAGCUAUGGUCCCUUGCACACCGUCCACCUCCACCUCAGAUUCUCCUCCUUUCCUUGCCUUAGAAAAAAAACAAAACAAUCCACUCUAAAGUAAAUAGCCUCCAUCCAUUUCCCAUACAGUCACAACUACAUUCUGCUCCACAAUGCAUUGUCACCUCCUCCCCUAACCCCGUUCCCUGCGCAUCACCCACGCAGCAGUAAAGUGCAGAGAAUAACAAAAGGCUUUAAAAAUAAAAGGAACAAGACAAGACUGAAAAUACCCCUACUGCAAAAUCCUGAAUCCCAACAGUGAGUCUACAGAGAUUGAAUGAUAGCAAAUAAUAUUGCAGCAGUAUUAAGACGUACAGAGAUGGCAGGCUAAUUGCAGGCCUGGCA